UGUCAGAAACACAAUUCCCCAACACCCACUCCCAUUCAGAUUGGGAUUUAGAUUCGGACUCGGACUUUGGACGAGCUGCUCUCAAUGACGCUUAGGUAAAUGGCUCAAAUUGAUUGAAUUUUGCACUUUGGCAUUCAUGAUGGCCGAAAUGAAAUUUGCAUUUCUGGCCAACCGGCGGAGCAGUGCGAUUGUGUAAAUGUCAAAAUGGGAAAUUAAUGGGCCGGGGAAAUGGUCGAAGUCAAACGAAAUGGGAAUAACUUGGUCCUCGGAAACUUUUUUCAUUUUGAUUCAUUAAUGAAAAGUUCGCAGCAGCAACAGCAAAUGCAACAGAAACAAAAAAUAGAACCGAAAAAGAGAGAGUAAGAAAUUCAUUUAAUGGAUUUUAAUUAUGCAUCAAGGCGUGGCAAGUCGGAAAGUUGGCCACCACCGCCUUGAAUAUUUGAUUGCACUCAUUGAGUGCCACUUGCCGGCGAAAGUUGUUGCAUACUUGGGGGCGAGUUAAACGAAGCAGAAGACACCAGAACAGACCCAGAAAUGGAGCUGAAAAUUGGUCCAUCAAAGCUCAACCGCAAACAGGCUCACAUAUGUAUAUAUGCCUUUUCUGCGUUUGCCCAAGAACGAUUUUUGCAAACUAAAAUAUACAUAUUUUUUGGUGGUUUCAUUCGCAA